rnacentral:rRNA from 1 species
AGAGUUUGAUCCUGGCUCAGGAUGAACGCUAGCGGCAGGCUUAACACAUGCAAGUCGAGGGGCAGCGCGAUGUAGCAAUACAUUGGCGGCGACCGGCGCACGGGUGCGUAACACGUAUGGAAUCUGCCCUGUACUGGAAGAUAACCCGGCGAAAGUCGGACUAAUAUCCCAUAAUAGCCGAGGUGGCAUCACCUUGGUUUGAAAGCUCCGGCGGUACAGGAUGACCAUGCGCACGAUUAGCUAGUUGGUGAGGUAACGGCUCACCAAGGCUACGAUCGUUAGGGGGCCUGAGAGGGUUAUCCCCCACACUGGUACUGAGACACGGACCAGACUCCUACGGGAGGCAGCAGUGAGGAAUAUUGCGCAAUGGAGGCAACUCUGACGCAGCCAUGCCGCGUGCAGGAAGAAGGCGCUACGCGUUGUAAACUGCUUUUAUCCGGGAAGAAACCCCAGGACGUGUCCUGGGUUGACGGUACCGGAGGAAUAAGCACCGGCUAACUUCGUGCCAGCAGCCGCGGUAAUACGAAGGGUGCAAGCGUUAUCCGGAUUCAUUGGGUUUAAAGGGUGCGUAGGUGGGGCGAUAAGUCAGCGGUGAAAUCCUGCAGCUCAACUGCAGAAUUGCCGUUGAUACUGUCGCUCUUGAGUACGCUUGACGUGGGCGGAAUGUGCCGUGUAGCGGUGAAAUGCUUAGAUAUGGCACAGAACACCGAUAGUGAAGACAGCUCACGAAGGCGAAACUGACACUGAGGCACGAAAGCGUGGGGAUCGAACAGGAUUAGAUACCCCGGUAGU